AUGAAUUGUAUAGGGAGUUGAUGCUGGCAGUCUUCUGCAUGUGCUCGCUUCCGACAUUCUAUCCUGACACCUGUGCACACUAUAGGAGGUCUGACGAACACUUUUCCGUUUCGGACCUGUGCGAAUCAGCCUUCUUUCUCAUAAACUCUUAUGAAUUAUUGAACGUGAUUGUGCCGCAAGGCCAUUAACUUAUA
rnacentral:misc_RNA from 1 species